UCAAACCAAAGCUGGCGACCGGCGCACGGGUGAGUAACACGUAUCCAACCUGCCUCAUACUCGGGGAUAGCCUUUCGAAAGAAAGAUUAAUAUCCGAUAGCAUAUAUUUCCCGCAUGGGUUUUAUAUUAAAGAAAUUCGGUAUGAGAUGGGGAUGCGUUCCAUUAGUUUGUUGGGGGGGUAACGGCCCACCAAGACUACGAUGGAUAGGGGUUCUGAGAGGAAGGUCCCCCACAUUGGAACUGAGACACGGUCCAA
rnacentral:rRNA from 1 species